GUCUCUCUGCUCAGGUACAAUGGCGAAGCUGGACGAGGAGUCGGAGGAGCUGCACCAGAAGUUCCUGGAGAAGGACGUCGACCUGCCGACCUUCGUGCAGAAGUACAAGAAGCUCCGCGCCGCUCACCACAAGUGCGCGCUGCUCAACCUGUCCGGCAAGGCCUCGCUUCGCUGAUACACCACAAGUGCGCGCUGCUCCACCUGUCCGGCAAGGCCUCGCUUCGCUGAUACGCCUAUCUAUUCAUUUAUUGUGUGUCAUGGCAUCCUGCUCUGUUGUAUCCCGUUCCUGGCCCCGUUUUUGACUGCAGACAUCAUAGACUGAGGUCGCAUGUAUAGUCUUAUGGCUGAC
rnacentral:lncRNA from 1 species